GACGAACGCUGGCGGCGUGCUUAACACAUGCAAGUCGAACGGAAAGGCCCUGCUUUUGUGGGGUGCUCGAGUGGCGAACGGGUGAGUAACACGUGAGUAACCUGCCCUUGACUUUGGGAUAACUUCAGGAAACUGGGGCUAAUACCGGAUAGGAGCUCCUGCUGCAUGGUGGGGGUUGGAAAGUUUCGGCGGUUGGGGAUGGACUCGCGGCUUAUCAGCUUGUUGGUGGGUAGUGGCUUACCAAGGCUUUGACGGGUAGCCGGCCUGAGAGGGUGACCGGCCACAUUGGGACUGAGAUACGGCCCAGACUCCUACGGGAGGCAGCAGUGGGGAAUAUUGCACAAUGGGCGGAAGCCUAAUGCAGCAACGCCGCGUGCGGGAUGACGGCCUUCGGGUUGUAAACCGCUUUCGCCUGUGACGAAGCGUGAGUGACGGUAAUGGGUAAAGAAGCACCGGCUAACUACGUG
rnacentral:rRNA from 1 species